GACUAACACUCGAAGAGGUCCAACAUCGCCUUGGCUUAAAUUUCCGAUGUUGUUUGCUGCAAUAAGAAGCAGGGUUUCUCCAAAUGAGAUGCUUCUUAUAAAGGCACAUUACGAACAAUUCAUGGAAAAGAAGAUUUCCCGUAAGGAUCUUGUGUUGAAGGUGCGAUUGGUUGUUGGAGACAAUAUAAUGAGAUCUGCAAUAACUAAUCUUCCAUACAGGAGAGCAUCAAAUGAUGACCUAGAUGACGGUGUAACCGAAAAUUUAUAAUAAGGAGGUGGAAAUCUUUCACUUGGAGAAGUUAACUAUUGUCAACAUGAAGUUGUAAUAUUGUUUUCUAUUGGGAGAUAGUUAUUGCCAUGGUUAUGAAGGUGUGUGAAGUGUUAAUACUUAAGCAGGAGAGCAAGUAAAGGUUCAUCAUUUGGUAUUUUCUAAAAGCUUA